CCCUUAGAUGUUCUGGGCGGCCCGCGCACUACAUUGGCACUCUCAAUAAGUUCCUAGAUCUAAAACUUUGGGGUAUUCUAUUAAGUGGUGUCGUGACUGGGAUUAACCCUUGCAAUUAUUGGUUACGAACGAGGAAUUCCUUGUAAUCGCGGUUUAUCAGCCCGCGUUGAAUGCGUCCCUGCCCUUUGUACACACCGCCCGUCGCUCCUACCGAUGAAUCGUCCGGUGAAGUUCAUGGAGUGGUGGUUGUUCCAGCUGCUGUCGAAGUGAAAUGGACCUCACGAUCUAGAGGAAGGAGAAGUCGUAACA
rnacentral:rRNA from 1 species